CAAAAACCUAGUGGAGAUCGUCCCCCUUUUCCCCUUUCUCCUACUCUCUGCCUCUUUGUCCAAAGGAUUAAAGAACAUGUAGCAGUAACACAGGAAGCUAAUCGGUCCAUAGCCUGCCCCAAGGCAACCCAUGGAGGAGAGUAAGCAAUAGAAGCUGAGAGUCUGCCCCAGAAGGAAGGAAACCUGGCUGCAAAGAACCAUGGCAGAAGAGGAAACCAGCAAAGAAGCCUCAGAGAUAAGAACAGCUGCUUGGAAGAGAUUUAGAUCAAUUUAGAUACCUGACAAAGACAC